GUGGGCUGCUCCUCGUGCCCUUUGAACUCAGCAGGCUUUCCCGAGCUCAGAGCACGCUCUGCCAUGGCCGCCACCCUGGCUAGCUGGGCCAGCCCCUCAGAGCCGGGACGGACCUGACACUAGAAAGCCCUGUCUCUGCCCCCCAGUACAUAGUAGGUCCUGCUAGUUCUGCUAUGUGGGAUGCCGCCUCAGCAUGGCCUGUCAAGUGGUGCCAUGUCCACGCCCAGGAUCCAAACCAGUGAAACCCUGGGCUGCCGAAGCAGAGUGCGUGAACUUAACCACUCGGCCACGGGGCUGGACCCCAGGAUUGGUUGUUUUUUUAAAGCGUGUAUAAUGUGACCAUAUUUUUAAAUGCAUAUUUGUAUAUUUAUACAAUACAUAUA
rnacentral:lncRNA from 1 species